rnacentral:rRNA from 1 species
AACGAACGCCGGCGGCGCGCCUAACACAUGCAAGUCGAACGAGAAAGGGGCUUCGGCUCCGAGUAAAGUGGCGCACGGGUGAGUAACACGUGGGUAACCUGCCCCUAAGAUUGGGAUAACUCGUCGAAAGAUGAGCUAAUACCGAAUAAGACCACAGUUUCUGCGGGGACAGGGGGCAAAGGUAGCCUCUGCUUGCAAGCUAUCACUUAGAGAUGGGCCUGCGCACCAUUAGCUAGUUGGUCGGGUAACGGCCUACCAAGGCAAAGAUGGUUAGCUGGUCUGAGAGGAUGAUCAGCCACACUGGAACUGAGCCACGGUCCAGACUCCUACGGGAGGCAGCAGUGGGGAAUAUUGCGCAAUGGGCGAAAGCCGGACGCAGCAACGCCGCGUGAGUGAUGAAGGCCUUCGGGUCGUAAAGCUCUGUCGGGAGGAACGAAUGCUCCUGAGGUUAACAGCCUCAGGGGGUGACGGUACCUUCAAAGGAAGCACCGGCUAACUCUGUGCCAGCCGCCGCGGUAAAAC